rnacentral:tRNA from 1 species
GGGUAGAUGGCCGAGUGGCUAAAGGCGACAGACUGUAAAUCUGUUCCCGCGAGGGUACGGUGGUUCGAAUCCACCUCUGCCCACCA